rnacentral:rRNA from 1 species
GCCUGAACCAGCAACGCCGCGUGUGCGAUGACGGCCUUCGGGUUGUAAAGCACUUUUUGAGGGGAUGAGGAAGGACAGUACCCUCAGAAUAAGUCUCGGCUAACUACGUGCCAGCAGCCGCGGUAACACGUAGGAGACUAGCGUUAUUCGGAUUUACUGGGCGUAAAGCGCGUGCAGGCGGUUCGGUUAGUUGGAUGUGAAAGCUCCUGGCUUAACUGGGAGAGGUCGUUCAAUACUGCCGGACUUGAGAGUGGUAGAGGGAGUUGGAAUUCCGGGUGUAGUGGUAAAAUGCGUAGAUAUCCGGAAGAACACCAGUGGCGAAAGCGGACUCCUGGACCAUUUCUGACGCUCAGACGCGAAAGCUAGGGGAGCGAACGGGAUUAGAGACCCCGGUAGUCCUAGCUGUAAACGAUGUAGACUUGGCGUUGGAGGGGUUAAAUCCUUCAGUGCCGAAGCAAACGCGAUAAGUCUACCGCCUGGGGACUACGGCCGCAAGGUUA